rnacentral:rRNA from 1 species
CCCUUAGAUGUUCUGGGCCGCACGCGCGCUACACUGACGAUGGCAACGAGUUUUUCCUUCGCCGAAAGGUGUGGGUAAUCUUUUGAAACAUCGUCGUGCUGGGGAUAGAUCAUUGCAAUUUUUGAUCUUGAACGAGGAAUUCCUAGUAAGCGCGAGUCAUCAGCUCGCGUUGAUUACGUCCCUGCCCUUUGUACACACCGCCCGUCGCUACUACCGAUUGAAUGGUUUAGUGAGGACUCCUGAUUGGCGCCGCCGCCCCGGCAACGGAGCAGCGGACUGCCUAAAAGUUGUUCAAACUUGAUCAUUUAGAGGAAGUAAAAGUCGUAACA